GACGAACGCUGGCGGCGUGCUUAACACAUGCAAGUCGAACGGAAAGGCCCUGCUUUUGUGGGGUGCUCGAGUGGCGAACGGGUGAGUAACACGUGAGUAACCUACCCUUGACUUUGGGAUAACUUCAGGAAACUGGGGCUAAUCCCGGAUAGGAGCUCCUGCUGCUUGGUGGGGGUUGGAGAGUUUCGGCGGUUGGGGAUGGACUCGCGGCUGAUCAGCUUGUUGGUGGGGUAGUGGAUUACCAAGGCUUUGACGGGUAGCCGGCCUGAGAGGGUGACCGGACACAUUGCGACUGAGAUACGGCACAGACUCCUACGGGAGGCAGCAGAGGGGAAGAUUGCACAAUGGGCGGAAGCCUGAUGCGGCAACGCCGCGUGCGGGAUGUCGGCCUUCGGGUUGUGAACCGCUUUCGCCUGUGACGAGGCGUGAGUGACGGUAAUGGGUAAAGAAGCACCGGCUAACUACGUG
rnacentral:rRNA from 1 species